rnacentral:rRNA from 1 species
UACGUAGGGGGGAAGCGUUGUCCGGAUUUAUUGGGCGUAAAGAGCGUGUAGGCGGCCAGGUAGGUCUGCUGUGAAAACUCGAGGCUUAACCUCGAGCUGUCGGCGGAAACCAUCUGGCUAGAGUCCGGAAGAGGAGAAUGGAAUUCCCGGUGUAGCGGUGAAAUGCGCAGAUAUCGGGAAGAACACCCGUGGCGAAGGCGGGUCUCUGGACAGUUCCUGACGCUGAAGCACGAAGGCCAGGGGAGCAAACGGG